UUUACGGAGAGUUUGAUCCUGGCUCAGGAUGAACGCUGGCGGCGUGCCUAACACAUGCAAGUCGAACGGGAUCCCUUGGAUUCGUCUGGGGGUGAGAGUGGCGAACGGGUGAGUAACACGUAGGUGACCUGCCCCAAAGAGGGGAAUAACUGCUGGAAACGGUAGCUAAUACCCCAUGUGCUCGAUGGUUCGGUCUGUCGAGUAAAGUCCCGGCGCUUUGGGAGGGGCCUGCGGCCCAUCAGGUAGUUGGUAGGGUAAUGGCCUACCAAGCCGAUGACGGGUAGGGGGCGUGAGAGCGUGAACCCCCACACUGGCACUGAGAUACGGGCCAGACUCCUACGGGAGGCAGCAGUGAGGAAUAUUGCCCAAUGGACGCAAGUCUGAGGCAGCAACGCCGCGUGGGCGAUGAAGGCCUUCGGGUUGUAAAGCCCUUUUCUGGGGGACGAGGAAGGACGGUACCUCAGGAAUAAGUCACGGCUAACUACGUGCCAGCAGCCGCGGUAAUACGUAGGUGGCAAGCGUUAUCCGGAUUCACUGGGCGUAAAGCGCGUGCAGGCGGUUUCGUAAGUCGGACGUGAAAGCUCCUGGCUUAACUGGGAGAGGUCGUUCGAUACUGCGGGGCUUGAGGUCGGGAGAGGGACGUGGAAUUCCCGGUGUAGUGGUGGAAUGCGUAGAUAUCGGGAGGAACACCAGUGGCGAAGGCGACGUCCUGGCCCGCACCUGACGCUGAGACGCGAAAGCGUGGGUAGCAAACGGGAUUAGAUACCCCGGUAGUCCACGCUGUAAACGGUGGGUACUAGGUGUUGGUGGCUAUCGUCAUCAGUGCCGUAGCUAACGCGUUAAGUACCCCGCCUGGGGACUACGGCCGCAAGGCUAAAACUCAAAGGAAUUGACGGGGGCCCGCACAAGCAGCGGAGCGUGUGGUUUAAUUCGAGGCAACACGAAGAACCUUACCUGGGCUUGACAUGCACGUAGUAGUGAAGCGAAAGCGGAUCGAUCCUUCGGGAAGCGUGCACAGGUGCUGCAUGGCUGUCGUCAGCUCGUGCCGUGAGGUGUUCGGUUAAGUCCGGUAACGAGCGCAACCCUCGCUGUUAGUUACAAGUGUCUAACAGGACUGCCGGUUUAAUGCCGGAGGAAGGUGGGGAUGACGUCAAGUCAGCAUGGCCUCUAUGUCCAGGGCUACACACACGCUACAAUGGCCGGUACAAUGGGUUGCCAAGCCGCGAGGCGGAGCUAAUCCUAAAAAGCCGGUCUCAGUUCGGAUUGCAGGCUGCAACUCGCCUGCAUGAAGUCGGAGUUGCUAGUAACCGCAGGUCAGCUAUACUGCGGUGAAUACGUUCCCGGGCCUUGUACACACCGCCCGUCACGUCAUGGGAGCUGGUAACACCUGAAGCCGGUGGGCUAACCGUAAGGGGGCAGCCGUCGAAGGUGGGACUGGUGACUGGGACGAAGUCGUAACAAGGUAGCUGUACCGGAAGGUGCGGCUGGAUCACCUCCUUUCUA
rnacentral:rRNA from 1 species